rnacentral:rRNA from 1 species
UACGGAGGGUGCAAGCGUUAUCCGGAUUCACUGGGUUUAAAGGGUGCGUAGGAGGGCAGGUAAGUCAGUGGUGAAAUCUCCAAGCUUAACUUGGAACUGCCGUUGAUACUAUCUGUCUUGAAUAUUGUGGAGGUGAGCGGAAUAUGUCAUGUAGCGGUGAAAUGCUUAGAUAUGACAUAGAACACCAAUUGCGAAAGGCAGCUCACUACUCAAUCAUUGACUCUGAGGCACGAAAGCGUGGGGAUCAAACAGG